GGUUCCUCAGCUGCUGCAUCUGUGGUUUUCUCAGCCACUGCUUCUUCAGUUACUGGAGCUGAUUCAUCUGCUACAGGGACAGCUUUCUCUGUUUCUGGUUCCUCGACAGGGGCUGCUUCGAGUUCAGCCUCCGCGACAGGGGCUGCAACCUCUUCAACAGGAGCCGCAACUGGUUCCUCAGCUGCUGGCUCCUCUGUUUCUAUGGCUGCAGGUUCUGCUGCAGCCACAGGUUCUUCAGCAGCAGGGGCUGCUUCCUCAGCGGGAGCAGGCUCUUCUACUGGUGCUGCUGCUGAUUCGACGACGGAUUCGCUUUCUACAACUGGGGUUGGUUCCUCUACUUUGGUUUCCUCUGGGGUUGUUUUUACCUCAACCUCAGCUGGAGCAGUCUCU
rnacentral:lncRNA from 1 species